GCUCAAAUUUGAAAUCUAGCGCUUUCAGCGUUCGAGUUGUAAUUUGUAGAAGAUGCUUUGGGUGAGGCUCCGGUCUAAGUUCCUUGGAACAGGACGUCAUAGAGGGUGAGAAUCCCGUAUGUGACUGGCUGCCUUCGCCUAUGUAAAGCUCUUUCGACGAGUCGAGUUGUUUGGGAAUGCAGCUCUAAAUGGGAGGUAUAUUUCUUCUAAAGCUAAAUAUUGGCCAGAGACCGAUAGCGCACAAGUAGAGUGAUCGAAAGAUGAAAAGCACUUUGGAAAGAGAGUUAAACAGUACGUGAAAUUGUUGAAAGGGAAGCGCUUGCAACCAGACUUGCCUGCCGUUGAUCAUCCUCCCUUCUGGGUGGUGCACUCAGCGGUGGUCAGGCCAGCAUCGGUUUUGGUGGUGGGAUAAAGGCCUUGGGAACGUAGCUCCUCUCGGGGAGUGUUAUAGCCCUCGGUGCAAUGCCGCCUACCGGGACCGAGGACCGCGCUUCGGCUAGGAUGCUGGCGUAAUGGUUGUAAGCGACCCGUCUUGAAACACGGACCAAGGAGUCUAACAUCUAUGCGAGUGUUUGGGUGUUAAACCCAUACGCGUAAUUAACGUGAACGGAGGUGAGAACCCUUUAGGGUGCAUCAUCGACCGAUCCUGAUGUCUUCGGAUGGAUUUGAGUAAGAGCAUAGCUGUUGGGACCCGAAAGAUGGUGAACUAUGCCUAAAUAGGGUGAAGCCAGAGGAAACUCUGGUGGAGGCUCGCAGCGGUUCUGACGUGCAAAUCGAUCGUCAAAUUUGGGUAUAGGGGCGAAAGACUAAUCGAACCAUUAACUACUAGGUGGUUAAGACUUAUGCAGAAGUGUAUAAGUAGUCCGUAGCGGGCAACACUGUCAAAUUGCGGGGACCUCCUGUUACAGUACUACUACCGCAGCUAUGGCGAAAGCUAUAGCGCGCACCAGGUUAAUGGCCUUGGGGAUGGUAAUAACGUAGUACUAGGGACAACCUGCAGCCAAACCCUAACCACGGGUGCAGUUCACAGACUAAAUGUCAGUGGGGUAUGCUUAGAGCGUACU
rnacentral:rRNA from 1 species